GUUGGUUUCUCUUCAGAAGUUAUCACAUUGCCCUGGUUCUUUCUGCUGGCGGCCAUGUUUAUAACCACGUGUUUGUUCACGGCAAGGCAACUUUGUCCAGAGUUUACGUUUGUUUGCGAGUUUGUCUGCGUUUUAUAUUCGUCAUUGUUAUAGUAUUUAUAUCACAUUUCUGAUCACGUUUUGUGUAAGACUUUUGGCAAGGUUUUUGGUAAGGUUUUUGGUAAGAUUUUUGGUAAGAUUUUGGUAGGUACCCGAAGGUAUAUUUGCAUUUUUU